GUCUCUGAAGGUGCCUAGUGCAGUCUUGGACAGGGAAAUCCCCGUGUCACGGAGCAGUGAGGGAAGGUGAGCGUGUUGUCAGCCUAGUCGUCCCUUAUCCGAAGCGAAGGGAAGACAUUCAGGUGUUUCCCUCUGAGGGUCUGAGUAUUCCCAGGUGGCAUGGGUGAUGCUGGCUGUUCCUUUCGAGCUUGGAUCUAACUUCCAGGCUGAAACGCAGUGUGCAGUACAGGACAUCAAGACCCGAGCUAUCUCUGGAG